rnacentral:lncRNA from 1 species
AGUGUCCUUCUCCUGCCCUGGGAACCCAUCAGGACCCCGUGUGUCACCGUCACCACACCCCCUCUGGGCUCCCUGGACGGUGUUGAGAGGAGUGGUGAGGUUUCAUGGGCUGCCCCUCAGCUGGGACUGUCAGUUCUCCUUGUUCUGUGACGGGGUGGGGCCAGGAGGACGCUCCAGGAGGGCCUGUCCUCCGCCCCCUCCAGGUCUGUGCCCUCAACAGGCCCUGGCUGCUGCCCUGGCCUUGGUCUCCUGCCGAGUUGGGGCGUCUCCCCUUCCCCGCUGGAGGGCAAGUGUCCACCUGCUGUGGUUUUUGAGGGGUUUGUGGGGCCUGUGGGCUGUGCAGGAAGCCUGGGCCUCUGAGGAAGACAGACAAUGGAAACAGGGAGGGGACAGGCCACCACUGGCAGCUGGGCAGGAAACAGGCACAGAGAGAAGACAGGAAGUCCCCAGGAGAAAGGAGUGAACGGGGGACGAGGGCCGGCCACUCUGGGAGCCAGGCCAGGUGCAGGAGGGACCUAACUGGGCAUUGAGAUGUGUGGCCGGACAUGUCCCCUGGUUGGCCCGGGCACUGCAAUGGGCACUGGGACUCAGGUCUGCGACAUCAGCAGGUAAGCUGGGUGCACACAGUGGCAGGCCCCGGCACAGGGCCGGGGGCGGACACCAAGGGAGCUGCUGUGGAAGGUGGUCAGGGCUGGAGGGAAGAGCCGAGGGUGUGGGGCUGCCAGGCCAGGCCAGCAGAGCAGGGUGGGAGGACGCGAGCCCCUGCCAGCUUGCCUUCGAGGCCCUGCAAAAUUCAUUAAAGGGAGUGUCCCAUAGGGGCAGGGAAUGUGAGCCGGGCUGAAAGUGAUCUGUGGCCAUCUGCUUGCUGUGCGUCCCCAGGGUCAUCCACAGGGGCUUUGGUGGGGACACCGAGGCUGCAGCCCCAGAUGCACAAGGAGACCCACCUGGCCUCAGCCAUGGCUGCCCGCUGUGUGCUGACUGGGCUCUGGUCAGGCCCACUCUGUCCUUGGCUGCAGACCUUGACUUUUAUAACUGACAGGUAUGAGGCCCCCAGUAGAACAAGGAGCCACAUGGAAAGUCGGCCACUGCAGGGGUGCCGGGAGGCCUGCUCGCAUCCUGGUGACUGCCUGGGGACCCUGGCCAUGCCACGGACCGUGGCAGCUGUUCAACGGGCGGAGAUCCUGGCAUGGGUGGGUGGAGAGCUGCCCAGCUCCCUCCAGCCCAAGACACCACCGAAAAAUGACUCAGCCACAUGUCCGUGGUCCUCAGGGUGGCCCCACUGUCCCCUGAAAUCGUGCCCCUGGGUUGGGCCCCACUUCAGUGAAUUCUGGGGGAGCCUGGUCUGUGUCCCACAGGAAGCCCAGCAGGUCCCGUGGAGUCCAGGGCAGGAUGAGCAGACACCCCAGGUUUCAUCACCGGCGACACAGGAAACCAGAGACAGUGGCUCUCAGUGGUGACGCCACCAUCAUCAAUAGUUUACAGCAGGUAAUGGACACUCGACCUGGGUCUCAGGCUCAGGUGGCCACAGUACAGCUGCCAACCUGGGGCUGUGUCAGAACAGGAGGGCAGCUGACUCCUGCCCACAGGCCCCAAAGACCCAGAAGCCAGCAGUGCACUUUCUGAUGGGCCUGGUCUCAGCUGAAGGAGGCCCCAAGGCCCUUCCUGCACUGGCCAGGGCUGACAGGGCAGAGGUUGGGAGGACGGUAGGGAAGGGGGCAGAGCCAGCCACUGCUACACCUGCUGCACUCCGACCCAGAGACAGGGAGAGACACUCAGCCCCUUUGAGCACAGGGAGGGGCCAGGUGCAGGGGCCACGCCUCCUACCUCAGCGACCCAGGGGGCUGCGGCAGGGCAUGCAAGGUCCAGGCCGGUCUGGGCCAUGCAGCCAGAAGGCAUCCCAAGCUAAAUCUGGCUGGGAUGCAGUCCAGGGGAAGAGCACCUGGGUUUAACCCCAGCACCGUUAGCCCCAGGGAGACACUCACGUGCCCUGGGGUGACUAUGACCAAAAGAUGUCACGAGGGAGAGCUGCCAGCACUGUGCAGAGGUCAGCAGCCUCAGGACCACCACUGCUGGUGACCAGCCUGGCAGCGCCACCAAGGUGAAAUGCAGUCACCACCAGGGCCAGCAACCCCUCCUAGUGGAUGCCUGAGUCCAGAACAGACAGCUGACACACAAAGGGUGCACACGGAAACAGCCAAGGUCCACCAACAGGAGGUGGACACACAGCCUGGCCACGCACACCUGGAGCGUCCUGGCCAGGGCAGGAGCGAGGCGACACACUGCAGCAUGGGUGGACCUGAGGACCACGUGCUCAGUGACAGCCAGGCACACAAGGCCCAGUGACAGAGGAGUCCAGGGCAGGAGGCUCCAGAAAUCGACGUGCACCCGCGGGUGCGACGGGGCUUGCUUUUUCCCUGAAGCUUUCAUGAAUGUGUCUCUCUAGAGAUCAUGAAUAUCACAUGUCAUUGUCACAACUCCAUAGCCCGAUGGAAGGGAGCUGAACACGCCUGUCAACAGACACUCAAUGUCCUCUUUCAGAGUAUUUCCUAUGGAAAGUAAGUUCAUCUGCAGAGGUGUGUGUGAGUGUGUGUGUGUGUGAGUGAGUGUGUGUGCCUCUGUGUGUGUCUCUCUGUGUGUCAGAGUGUGUGUCUCUGUGUGUGUCUGUGUGUGUGCAUCUGUGUGUGUGUGUGUCUCUGUGUGUGUCUGUGUGUGUGCAUCUGUGUGUGUGUGACUGUGUCUGUGUGUCUGUGUGUGUGUCUCUGUGUGUGUGUCUGUGUGUGUCUCUGUAUGUGUGUCUCUGUGUGUGAGAGUGUGUCUGUGUGUGUGUGUCUGUGUGUGUGUGAGUGUGUGAGAGAGUGUGUGUGCCUCUGUGUGUCUCUGUGUGUGUGUCUGUGUGUGUAUCUGUGUGUAUGUGUCUGUGUGUGUGUCUCUGUGUGUGUGUCUCUGUGUGUGUGUCUCUGUGUGAGUGAGUGUGUGUGCCUCUGUGUGUGUCUGUGUGUGUGUGUCUCUGUGUGUGUCUCUGUGUGUGUCAGAGUGUGUGUCUGUGUGUGUCUGUGUCUGUCUCUGUGUGUGUGAGUGUGUGAGAGAGUGUGUCUCUGUGUCUGUAUCUGUGUGUGAGUGUGUGUGUGAGUGUGAGUGUGUGUGGGUGUGAGUGACAGGGCUUCACUUUACUAUGCCCCUUGAGGCUUUGGAACUUACAAGGCUUCUCUUUUUCCCUAAUCUUCUCCCUGAACUUCUCCUCCCUGAUCUCAUUUUCUCUGAAUGUCUCCGUGAUAAACCUCGGUCUGCCCAGGGGCAGAACCGCAGCCUGGGGAACCGGACCUGUCUUGAUAUUGAACUGGCGUAGAGGACGAGGACCAAGCUCUGGUUACGUGUGUGGUGUGUGCAUUUGGUGGCCCAUUGCAGUUUCCUGUGGCUGGUGACAGCAGUGCUGGAGAGCCAGCCUCGCCCUGCGCCUCGCGCCCCGGCUCUUCCUGCCCGUCUGCUGCUGGGAUCCGCAGGGCCUUGAUACAUUUAAAACCAAAUUCCAAGUCUCCCAGCUGCUAGAAAACAUUUAAAAUUAGAAUGGGCUACAAAGGAGAAGACAACCACCCCAGUGACGGAGGCAACAAGUGUCAAUAUUGCAGGUGUUGAUACAUUGUACAGGUUUUAAAAUUUUUAUUUUGUAGCUUUAGAUUAUUCUUUUUCGCCCAAAUAACGCUUGUUCCCUAUUUUUACUUUCCCUUUUUGUCCUGAGAAUUGAAUCAGAAUGCUCUACCACUGAGCUGUACCCCCAACCCUGUUUGAGACAGGGUCUCUUAAGUUGCUGAGGGUGGCCUUGAACUUGCAACCUCCUGCCUCAGCCUCCCCCCAUGGAUCGAACGACAGGCGUGGCCACCAUGCCUGGCCUACUUAUUUCACUUUUUUUAAAAAUAUAUUUAUUUUUUUAGGUGUAGAUGGACACAACACCGGGCCUUUAAUUUUAUGUGGUGCUGAGGAUGGAACCUGGGUCCCCUCCCGCCCGUGCUAGACAGGGCUCUACCCCUGAGCCACAAUCCCAGCCCCUUAUUUCACUUUUUAAAAUGAAAGUCAAGCCACCCUGAGCUCUUUCCUCCCACACCCCAAGCUUCUCUGUGGAGCCAACAGGGUCUGAAUUCGUGGACGUCACCCUGGAGGACAGUCACCCUGGAGGACAGCCGUGGGAUCACCCCCUGUGGCAGGCCCCGCCAACUUCCCUCAGCACCACCCCUCCCGGUUUUCCACACAACUUCCUCUUUUUCUCAAGAUAAAAUAGGUCCCAACAAUGAAAACAAACACUCGGAGACGUUCACAUUCAUCUCCAAAGCGGGCCUCUGGAACGCCCUUGGUCACUUCCAGAUAUUGUGGGGGAUUCCGGUCAGGCACCCCGGCAGCCAGGACCCGCUCACUUGUUUCAAUCUAGUACUUUUCCAGCCAUCUGCAAAGUCUCCCUGCAACAGUCCUGUCCCUGGGGGUCCCUGCUCCCCCUGGCCCCGAGAAGUCAAAGCCAACAGGGUCUUGCCCACAGCCUCGAUUCAGAGGAGAGGCUGACCCCAAGAACCCAGAGUUCCCCAGGCUCUCUGAAGCAUGUCCUUGAUAGUUCACCUCCCAACUGAGGAAUGAGUGAUAAGGCAGAGGGCGGGGAGGGGCCUGCAGCCCUCCAGUGGGGCUCCUGGCUCUGGUCCCUCCUGGGUUCCCUGGUCCCUGCAUCCCAGGCGGCUGGAAGGGUCUGUGGUCCUGGGCGGAGCAGGGAGGCCAGCAUUCCUCAGAUUGUUUAUUUGUUUGUUUAAUCUGGGCUGGGCCAGGAACACCUCCUCCCGUCUGCAUUGGGUGGUAUUUGGAUUCUUGCUGCAGCCCAGAGCCCCUGUCCUGGGUUUCCCUGCUGGGCCCCGGGUGGUGCCCUACUCCAGAUGCACACUGGUGGCUACUGAGCUUUCUCCCCCGCCCCCCCUGCCCCCGUGCUGGGCUGGACCUAGGGCCUCACGAAUGCUGGACAGCGCUGACCACUGAGUGCUACCGCCCUGUUUGCUUUUGUCCCACGCAUUCAGUCCCUAAGUCCCUAGGCCUCCCAGCCUUGCCCUGUGGCCCCUAUGACCCUCUGCAGACCCUCCCCAGCUCAAAGUCACCUACCAUGUGGGACAACCACUGUCCAGCCAGCACACGGCUCCUGUCCCUCCCAACUUGGUGGCCGAGGAUGACCGAGAUGGGAAGAUGAGAUUCCUGCUGCCGGCAGCCAGGUGGGAUCUCUGUGGACCCCGAGGUCUGGAUGUCAGGAGGGCCAGGGAGGCAGAACCCCGGGCAGUGGGCACUGAGACUAAUGUCCCUCACUUGAUGAAGCACUCACAGGGGUCAGCCAUCCGUCCCCAGAGCCUGUGUUUGGGCCCAGCACUGCCCUGGAGGGUCCCAGCAGGUGGCCUGCGUGGGAACCACCCCCAAAGGCUGAGCUUGUGGAAUCCUGGGAUGGUAGCAGCAGGUAGGUGUGCCUUCCUGGGUGACGCACACCCAGACACCGUGCCUCUGGUGGAGUCAUGCACAUCGAGGCCUGGGCGGCCCCGGAGGGAGGCUGAGGUGCCCGCUGUGGCCUCGGAGGAGGGGUUGGGGAGUGGAUCCCCUUCCUGCAGACUUGGACCCUCGGGGAAGGAAAAGCAGGGUGGCGCGUAGGGUGGUGGACCGUCCCCCAGCAUGCCCCUGCUCUGAGGUCUCCCCAGCACUGCAGAAAAAGAGAAGAAAAGCAGGUGGUUGUCCUCAGGGAACUGGGGACUGAGGAUCACCUCCACCCUCCCCUGGUCUGAGCACUUCCAGGGCCAGCAUCCUGUCCCCAGAACAUGGCCCCGGCUCAGCACCCCUGGGCGACACUCAGCCCCUGACCCGCCCGGGAUGGCCAGCACAGACCUGAGCCCACACCCUGCUGCCUAGUCAGUGGUCAAGUGGACACAGACUGGAACCUCAGAAUCUGAGCCAAAGAAACCCUUCUUCCUCUACGUUGAUUUUCUUUCUUUCUUUUUUUCUUUCUUUCCUUCCUUCUUUCUAGAAAUAGAAUUUUAUUGUAUCUUUUAAGUAACUGUGGUACAGGGUGGUGGCUCAGCGGUAGAGCACUCGCCUAGCUCGUGCGAGGCCCUGGGUUCGAUCCUCAGCACCACAUAGAAAUAAAUAAAAUAAAGGUGUUGUGUCCAACUCAAACUGAAAAAUUAAUAUAAAAAAAGUAACUGUGGUACAGGGUUGUGCUCAGAGGUGGAGCACUCGCCUAGCAUGCUAAGGGUUCGACCCUUAGCACCACAUACAAAAUAAAACAAAAUAGAGAUAUUGUGUCCACCUAUAACUAAAAAAUAAAUAUUAAAAAAGUAACUGUUGCACAAAGAAACUACAAAUUAUGAACUCCAGAAUGCUUCCAAAUAAUUUAUUUUCACAUGAAUUUUUUUUUAAAUCUACUACACGGGUAAGUAUUAUUGUCUUUUUUUUUUUUAAGAGCGAGCGAGAGAGAAUUUUAAUAUUUAUUUUUUAGUUUUCAGUGGACACAACAUCUUUGUUUGUAUGUGGUGCUGAGGAUCGAACCCGGGCCUCGUGCAUGCCAGGCGAGCGCGCUACUGCUUGAGCCACAUCCCCAGCCCAUGAUUUGGUUUUUUAUCAAGCAAAUUUUCUUUGCAAACCUUUAUUUAUAUAUCUGUUAUUAUUUUUAGUGAACUGUAGCUAUACGUAAUAGUGGAGUUCAUUUGACAUAUUUAUAAAUGCAUGUAAAAUAGUUUUGUCCAUUUCCAUUCCCAUCAUUCUCCCUUCCCUCCCUUUCACCCUUCACCUGAGAAGCUGAUUUUCUUUUUAUUUGUUUUCUCUUGUUUCAUUGUUUCAAAGCUGAUUUUCUCAUGUAUUUUGUCACAGUGAUGGAACUGACUAACACUGUUAGUGAACAGAGGAGCCACUGAAUCCAGGGUACAUCUGGGCAAAGCUGUUUAAGCAUGACCUUAGUGAGACAGUCAGAUGAUACGUCUUAGAUGAUCUUAGUUGGCACAGUCCAGGGGCAUGUGGUACAUUCAGAGGUGCAGGAAUCACCUCUACCUGAUUCUAGAGCAUUCUUGUCACCACAAAGGGAGGACUCCUGCCUAUGAGCAGCCAGCCCCCUGUCCCUCCCAGCCCUGCACCCACAGGUCCACGUCCUGUCUCUCCAUUCCUGUCCUGGACUCUCCUGUCAUGGGGUCACACUGGCUGUCACUGAGCAUGAGGUCCUCAGAUCCCUCCACACUGCAGCUGUCCCCUCGCUCCUGCUGGUGUCCGAGAAUGCUCCAGGUGGAUGAGCAGUACCUCUCCACCUAAGUGUGGACAGCAGGGCCACCCCCCGAUGUGUGGGCUUUGGUGGACAUCUGUUUUCAGGCAUCGGGGUGCCUUGGGUAGCAGCACCUGCUUUACCUUGGUCCUGCUAGCAAGUACCGUCCUGUACCCUGAGGACGGAGCCUGGAGCCGGGGCUCUAACAGAAUGCCUCAGCUGCCACCUGGGUCCCCAUCCCCACUGCCCCCUCCUAGAGCAGUCAGGGACGCCCUCAGAGCUGCGAAGGGCACAGCAAGUCUCCAUCAGGCGCCCAGCAGGGAGGUUGAGAAAUUCCAACAAGUCCAGGCAGCCUCAUGGUGAGCUGCGCCCUGGAGAGACCUGCUGGGGCUGUUUGCCCUGAUGCUGAGUCUGGAGGCCACGCUCCUGACAACGGUGAGCAUCCGUCUGGGGCCCCUGCAUGGCUUCUGGCUGGUGCUUUCCGCCUAGAAUGGGAGAGAGGAAGGGGAGGGUCCUGGGCGCCUGCUCCUGGCCCAGCGCCUUCACCCCCCUCAGGCCUCCCUGCAACUGGGGAGACUGAGGCUGGGUCAGUCUCUCGGAAGCUUGGGGCGGUGGGCAUAGGGCUGGAGCAGCCCACCUGGACCUCCGUCGGCCUGCGGGGCUGGAAUGAGCAGCACAGGAGACCCUCAGCAAGGCAGUGUGCUCCAGAGGUGGACCCAGAUGGAGGUGCCCACACACCGACCGCCCAGGGUGCCUCCAUGGCCUUGUCCACAGCAGCCCAAACCUGGGGGCACCUGAGACUCCCGGUGGGUGAGACAGAUGGGCCCAGACGGACGGCUGCAAAGAAAGAGCUCCUGAGCCAUGAUGAGCCGGGAGCACCCCUAAGGGAGGCCCCAGGCUGCAGAGGCCACGCCCUGGGCAACUCCAGCCUGACAUCCUGGAGAGGGCAGAAGUGUGCCCACAGCCCAGACCUGGGGGCCGGCGGGGGCCAGGACGGCAGGCAGAGCCUGGAGGACUUCUCAGGCCCCGGAAGGUCUGGUUCAGUCUGCGGACAGGUGUCCUUUAUCAAGAUCCCAGCCACGUGCGGCUCCCGAGGGAACCUCAAGUAAACCUGUGAGUGUCGCUGAGGACCACGUAUCCAAGUUGGCUCACCCACAGGUGGGGCGGCCGGACACUUCCCGUCCCCUGCCCCACUUUCCUGUCCACUUAGGGCUGCUCAAGAAAUAGGCUCUUGGGCGGGGCUGGGGCUCAGGGCCGAGCGCUGGCCCAGCACGUGUGAGGCACUGGAUCCGACUCUCAGCACCGCAGAUGAAACAGACGGACAGACAGACAGAUGAAAUAAAGGUCCAUUAACAACUACAGAAAUCUAAAAAGUAAAUGAAGUCUCCAACAAAGGGACUGCGGGUGAGGACCAGUGUGGGCGGGGCCUGGGCCUGGUCCCUAGCCCUGCAGAGGCCACCGAGGUCCAUCUGUGGCCGCUGGGUGGGGGCCGGCCGCUGUGGGUCACUG